UCCUAGGGUCAGAUGCCAACAAUAUAUCGUUUGGGAAUGGGGACCCUAACUGCAGCAGGCAUCAGCUCUUCCGGGCUCAUCACCUUCCUUACACCUCUGGCGAGCUGCCACCUCUUGCGAGCUAGCUGUUACGUGUGGAGGAGCUAGAGCUCUGCAGCAUGUCAAGCAGGUCCAAGAGACGCCUCUCGCUGUUCAGAUCGAAACUCCACCACCGAAUUGAAGGCAGGCCCGAGUCCUCUUCAAGUGUCUCCUUUCGAUCCUUAGCUUCAUAUACUCUCGUAUCCUGCUGCAAACGAACAUACAACUGAAAGUGCUGUAGUCAAUCCCCUUCGAACGAAGGUUGCCCCAGCUGUGUUUCCUUGCUUUCCACUCUCAAAUUCUUUGCACAUUCAAUCCCUUAAACUUAAUUCAAACGACGUCAUUCUUGAACUAUUGGUGAUCUCAACACAAGGUGUGAAUUCACUUGUAAGCUUGGUGAGCUGGCACCUUGCAUUAUUGGAGAUUUAGUGGCUCGACAGCAAGCGCUCAUCGACUCUAUAUCUUAGUGUGGAGCGAUGAUGACCAUGUACAACGUAUACGAGGAGAACUCUUUCUUCAUGGAAAAUCUGCAUAGGCAGACGAGAUAGCAUCAUGGUUACCUGAAGAUAAGUUUCGCUGAUACUUACCUUUAUUUAUGAUAAGUCUCUCAUUUAACUUGGUGACAAGCCGAAGACUUUGACCAGGAUGGAUUUUGUAAUCAAGAGAGUAUCAUUAGUGCAGCUCUAAAGUGGACUAUAUUGGUGAUAUUUGCUAUUCAUACCACGAUGUAAAUGGUCGUGCCAAGUUUACCGUCUUACUCAGCUUAUGUUUCUGCAUUUUGUA